rnacentral:rRNA from 1 species
GUAGUCAUAUGCUUGUCUCAAAGAUUAAGCCAUGCAUGUCUAAGUUUAAGCGAUUAAACGGUGAAACUGCGAAUGGCUCAUUAAAUCAGUUAUCGUUCAUUUGAUAGUACCUUACUACAUGGAUACCUGUGGUAAUUCUAGAGCUAAUACAUGCUGAAAACCCCAACUUCGGAAGGGGUGUAUUUAUUAGAUAAAAAACCAAUGCCCUUCGGGGCUCCUUGGUGAUUCAUAAUAACUUAACGAAUCGCAUGGCCUUGCGCCGGCGAUGGUUCAUUCAAAUUUCUGCCCUAUCAACUUUCGAUGGUAGGAUAGUGGCCUACCAUGGUGGCAACGGGUAACGGGGAAU